rnacentral:lncRNA from 11 species
CGGCCCGUUUACGUUGGAUAAGUGAGACUCUACUGUAUUAUUAUUUGAUACAAAAAAAGAUGAUUUCAGUUCACAGCAAAAAAGAUCAGUUUGCUGGCCACGCCCACUCAUUUGCAUAGUUCUCCUGAUAGGCCUCUGAGUUAGUAUCGAGUGACUAGGCCACGCCCAUCAUUUGUAUAGUGCUGCUGAUAGGCCCCCGAGUUAGAAUAGAGUGACUCAGCCACGCCCCCUCAUUUGCAUGGUGUUACUGAUAGGCCACUGAGUUAGAGUUGUGACUAGGCCACGCCCCCUCAUUUGCGUAGUGUUACUGAUAGGCCCGUGAGUUGGAAUAGAGUAGCUAGGUCACACCCACUCAUUUGCAUAGUUGUGCUGUGGGUCAGUCUUCCACCAGAAAAAGCACCAAGACACACGCUGGUAGAUUCCAAGAGGUUUUAUUGUACAGAAUACCAGAAUCUUCUCUUUGGCCCAUUUAUAUAGGGGCUCUCACAUACCAGAGGGUCAUUGAGGUUUUAUGGCUGGCCUGUUUUAUGGCUGGCAUCAGCCGUCAAAGAUUGGAGAUCAUGACGCUAGGCCACACCUCUUCAUUUGCAUAUGCCCCGCCGUAACCUUCCCCGCUUCCUCCCCUCCAGGUGAGCCCUCCCUGUGGUACCACCACCGCCGCCAUGGUGUCGCUGUCACUGAAGGUGUGCGUCCGGCAGGGCAACGUGGUCAAGACCAUGCAGUUCACGCCCGGCACUGCCGUCUACGACGCCUGCCGCAUGGUCCGGGAGAGGGUCCCCGAGGCCCAGGCCGGGCAAGCUUCGGAUUAUGGGUUAUUCCUCUCCGAUGAAGAUCCGCGGAAAGGCAUUUGGUUGGAAGCCGGAAGGACCCUGGAUUAUUAUAUGCUGCGGAACGGGGUAUUAUUAUUAUUAUUAUUAUUAUUGACACAACGACAUAGUAUGACACAGCGAA